ensembl:snoRNA
GCCUGGUGGUUCCUACAGCCAGCUUCAAAGUGCUGAACUGUGGGAUUUUGUAAACAGGUGGAUGUUGAUUCUGCAAUUUUAUGCAUGGAAGCUUCCACUACAGCAGCCUUCUAUAGCUCGGUUGCAGAUACAUUG